CUCACCAAAAAUAUGGAGACACAAUGCCAUGUUUGCACAACAGUAGUAACCAGUCUGAUGCGCAGAGUCUUUAACACCACAACGAUUUAAUCUACACAGGCUGCAGGUACAGAUCUUACAGCAGGAUUAAAGUUUGAUUCACACCUUAUGCACGAUUACAUUGGCAUGUGUUUAAUAGACCAGACAAUAAUAUAAUUUAAUGACCUGUUUUAGGUUUGGAUUGAGAACGUCUCACUUUUGGCACGAAGAAAUUUUGUUUGUAUUUAAUUUUGUCACAAAUUCUCAAACUGUCAAGGGAUUUCUAGCCACACUGGAAC